rnacentral:misc_RNA from 1 species
GAUGAAGAACGUAGCGAAAUGCGAUAAGUAGUGUGAAUUGCAGAAUUCAGUGAAUCAUCGAAUCUUUGAACGCACAUUGCGCCUUCUAGUAUUCUGGGAGGCAUGCCUGUUUGAGCGUCAUUAAACCUCUCUCAAGUAUGAUUACUUGGAUGUGAAGGAAGAGUACCUUAAACUUAAGGAGUGUUCUCCUUUGAAAUUGAUUACCAGAUGGUAAUGUUAUUAAAUCCCUGAUGUUGUAAGAAAUAACAGUGGUUUUGUAGACUAUUAUCUAGCUUUAAAUUAUAAUUUUUAUUAUGGUUGACCUCAAAUCAGGUAAGGAUACCCGCUGAACUUAAGCAUAUCAAUAAGCGGAGGA